CCGUGACUUUCACGUUUAUCUGAAUUGGCUAAGAAAUCACACUUUCCCUUUGGACCGUUUGUUACUGAGGAGUUAAUGUUUUAUUCCCAGGCCUGAACUAUUUAGGUAUGUUCUGCUUUAGUUUGGUUUCUGAUAUUUUGCAGAAACCCUGCUUAAGUGAAGGUGGGUAGUGUAAUGGUUGUAAUAACGCUGAUCAUAAGGGCUGUUAUGUGUCGGUCAUUGGCUCUGUGCUAGUAUUAGGCACAUGUGGUCUCGUGCAACAUCUUCUAUGAGGGGGUUGUCUUACCUGCCCUUCACAGACGUGGGAAUUUGAGUAACUUGGCAGAGCUCUCUUAGCUAGUUGGUAACAGAACUUGGACACAGACCUGCCCCGUUCUGGCUCCAGAGUCCAUGUGUGGAACUCUGUGUUAGAAGUUCUUACAAAAAACGUAGAAACUGAUAACAGCAGGGGACAGGGCCAUGCGUCCUGUGGGUGUGCCUUUGCCCCAGCCUGCCGACCUCAGGAGGUUGUGAAUUCUGAGCAGUUCACCUGGGGCUAGGAGCAUUCCAGUCUGUAAGGUGUGAGGGAAAAGGGGGAGGAGGGAGAGAAUAACAAUGAAAGAGUGAGAAGAGUUGUUCAAGCCUGAAACUUGGAUCCCUCAUUCCUUUUAGUCUCAUGUCCUGCAUCCAAUCCAGAGGCAAGUCCAGUCAGCUCUGCUUCUGGAACAAACCCGAAUCCAGCCUGUGUGCCCCUGGGGACACCAUGCAGACCCUGCGGUCCGGGAUGGUCCCUCCCCUCACAGAGGCAGGGCACCUGAUUUACACUCCCCACCCUCUGGGACGGUCCUCUGGCCCUUUGCCUUGUCCCAGGCCUAAGGUGCUGGGUGACCUGGGCUCUGCUGCCCCCCUCUGACCGUGGCUCCAGACACACUGGCCUGUUUCUCUCCUGUCCCAGCCAAACUCCCUUCCACUGGGAACAGUAUCUAGCACUCAGACAGCACUGCCCAGGGACAGAGUGAGAGACAACUGUGGAGUGAGAAAAUGUGAAUGAAAACAUGGGUGAAAGAGAAAGGAUGUGAGGGCAGACAGACAGGAGGGGGCCAAUGAGAACAGGAGAGGGAAUGGGCGGGCAAAGCUGAGUGUUGCCAUGUGACUGGAACCUAGAGCAAGGUGAGCAGUGGAGUCCGAAUCCUAAAUGGGAAUUCUGUGCCCAAGCACACUAGGGUGGUUAUUUAUUUACUUAAAAUCCCUGACAGUGGCAUUGAGGCACAGAAAUUGCAUCAGCCUGCACUUUUUUGUUUUACUUUUCAGGGACAAAUAAAAGAUCAUCUAUCAAUAACUUCCUCAGGAAGAAAUCCAUCUUCCUUUCUUUUGCACAAUCACCACAAAACCUGGCAUAAUAAGGGCUUGUCAUCAGUGAACUUUGAGGAAGCAUGAGGUGAAAUUAUUCAGAGCUCCAAGAGAGAUGUAAAUUCCUCACUCUCUUCAGAACAUAUUCAUAAAGGAUUUGGAAUUUUUGUUUUUGCAUGAGAGUGGGCACAUUCUCACCACAAGUUAUUAUGCAUGAGAGGUGAAAGAGUCUAUCUAUAAUAACAAAAAAAGGUCCAGAGGAGAUGGAUGAGAUUUCCUUUCUUGAUGGGGCCCCUGUGAGAAGAAGCACAGAGGAUUUGGCGAAGGCUGGGAUGAUUGGAGGAGGUGGGGGUCUUCCCAUGUCGGGAAGGUUUUCCAGGAAAAGAACCACUGUCUGACUCCCUCCCCACUUCCAGGACACCCUCAGGCCACCACGAUUAGUGCUAUUUACGACAUCAGCCAAGAAAAUGUGAUUGAUGAAGAACUCUGACAGAAGCAUUUGAAUCUCCCUGUAGCUUCAGCAGGAAAUUUUUAGCUCUACCAUGACCCAAGCAGUGAGGGUCCUCACUCCACUCUGGGAGGGAAACUGAUAACGUCGUCCUCCGUCAUUGGUCAUGGGAAAGGAGAGAGGGGCUGGCAAGUCCUGUUCCCUUAUGAGAAUUAGGAAAGAAUGAGGGAGAAAUAGAUCCUUCUACCCAGGAGACUGUCAAGUUAUUACUUCUCUGGAAAAGCAACUAUCGUUUUGUGCUGGGUGAAUAUACACAAAACAUUGGACAAGAUAAUAAAGUUGUUGAGAGAACAUAUUGGUAACAACAAUGGAAGUUGUGGAUGGUGCAUUUCUUGAUAUUUAAGCACUUGAUGUUUUGUGCUUUUAAACAAAUGUGUAAUUUGCUUUGCCUUCUCUGCUUGUUUUUGACAAAAUUGUUUUCGUCUGUGACUGCGGCCAGCAAGGCAAGCCAGGGUUGAGUAGAAUCUUCCUCUUCCUCCUCCUUCUCUACUUCCUCCUCCUUCAUCAUUACCAACACCCUGAUGAGUGUCAUAUCUGAAAAGUAAAAAAACCCCUCUCGUAUUCUCCAGAAAAUUAUUCUAUGUAGAUCUGUUUUUCAUUCCUUUUUUGUUUGUUUAGCAUUAACAUAAAAGUGAUAUUUUAUUCAACCACCAGAGGGAGUCCCCUAAUCUAUGGAUUCUAAAUGCCAACAAGAAUAAAAUAAAAUAAAAAAUAAUAAAAUAACAAAGUCACAAACUUUAUAUGUUUUAUGGCUGAAAAUAAAAAACGUAUUCAGCGGUGCAUCGUGGGAAGUGGCUCACCCAUCAGGUCUUUUGUACACAAAGGGCUUAAAAUCUUGUCCUCCGGCAGAUGCCACAUCAUUUUAAUGAACGGUUAUUAAAUAAUAGACUAUGGUUUUGUGUUCUUCCCCUGGGAGAAACAAGCGUUCCAUAUACUUUCCCCACCAUGUUAUGUGGGUGUGGAAUGGGAAAGGAAAUUAUCCAACUGCUUCCUGCCGGCAGAGCUGGCCCCUGCAGCCGCAUUCUGUCCGGUAUUGAGGAGUCCUGGAUCUCCCAGAAAAAACCUUUCCAAUGUCAGCAUCUUAUAAGCAAGCCUCCGAGUGGCAUGCCUCUGGAUGGCCAGGGUCUUCUAUGAGGGCAGUUCUUGGGGGUGGAGGGCAGUUCCUGGGAGCUCUCAGCGGUUCUCCACGGCCUCUAGAGCUCCUCCACGUUUUCCCACACAGGCAUUCAGGCCACCUGCUUUGUGCUGUGGAAACUGUUGCUCACAUGGGGUUAAACAAAUGACCUAAGGCCAUGGUGCCGAUGAGUGAGCCCUGGGAGCGGGGCCAGGACGCUCUGUGGCGCCGCAAGGCUGCAAGCUGCCUGUUUCUCCCAGAACACUGACUUAGCGUCAGAAACGCAUCAUGUGAGAUGGAGAUCAUUUCACUUACUGCAAAGCGAACAACACUGUCGCUGCUGGAGGCGUGUGGACUUCAAGGAUAAAGCGAGAGCGAUUUACAUUUUUUCUGCAGAAAAUUACUUCUGGAUCGUGUGCUCUUUCUUACCCUUUAAUUUCAACUUUAAUAAUUCUCUGACUAUGUUCCACUCGAAUGUUAUACUCCCCCAGAUGAAGCGUAUGUUCUUAGGAAAUUUCCUUCCCAAAGAGGAAGCUGUGAACAUCCAUUUUGCCUUCCCUUGCCAGGCGCUGAUUUUCAUUUUUUUACUGUUCUUCCUGAAAUCCCAAGCAAAGGUGCAUAAAGCACUGCUAUUUUCAUUGAGAUGAGCACCGCACAAAGUUUAAAAAUCUCAAAUCUGUGGAAGGCUCCACGAAAAAGUAGCAGUGCCAGUGGCUGCUCCAUGCAGAUUGGCCUGCGCUCCCAACUUACUGUUCAGUGUGAGGCAAAGACACAGGCCUGCCGCCAGGAUCUGAGCUUCUGCUUCACCACUUACUGAGCUAUCGUGGACAGGUUAGGAGGUCCCUGUGCCUCAGUUUUCUGACCUGCGAAGUGGGGAUAAUAAUAGUACUUAUUUUGCUGUAAAAAUUAAAUGUCUUCAUUUGUAAAUUAUGAGUAUUCAUUAAAAACAAAACAGUGCUUGACAGUGGUAUUUGUUUAAAUAAAAUAAGCACACACAUUUUUUCACACCACUACUAUGGUCUGGUCAACAAUUUCAAAUUAAUGACGGGUCUGUUUUUCCCCGUCUAUCCAGAAUGCUUGUGUUAGAAGUUUAUUUGACUUUCCAAAAGGAUUAUUCAGAGAGAAUUUAUGAAAAAUUUGUCUCUUCUGGUUAUAUAGUUGUUUCUCUACUUAUACAGGACACAGAUU